CGGCAUCAUUACCAUUCUGGGAAAAUCACUAUAAUACCCCCUCCCAAUCCUACUCCCAAUCCUACUCUCUCUUCUUUUUUCUCUUCUAUCCUUUUGAUACUCCUCUUUCGGUUAACCUUUUCUUUUCUUUAUUUAUCUUUAUAUUGUUUUUUCCCAUCUAUCUGGUUACUGCCCAGUUACCAUAUGGCUCACUGAAGCUAUAUUUGGAGAGGCGGGUCGAGGGGUGUUUAUUGGUAG